rnacentral:rRNA from 1 species
CACGUAGGGCGCAAGCGUUGUCCGGAAUUAUUGGGCGUAAAGAGCUCGUAGGCGGUCUGUUACGUCUGCUGUGAAAACCCUGGGCUUAACCCUGGGCUUGCAGUGGAUACGGGCAGACUAGAGGCAGGUAGGGGAGAAUGGAAUUCCCGGUGUAGCGGUGAAAUGCGCAGAUAUCAGGAGGAACACCGGUGGCGAAGGCGGGUCUCUGGGCCAUAACUGACGCUGAGGAGCGAAAGCGUGGGGAGCGAACAGG